UACGUAGGGGGCUAGCGUUGUCCGGAAUCAUUGGGCGUAAAGGGCGCGUAGGCGGCCUGCUAAGUCGAACGUGAAAUCCCUGGGCUCAACCCAGGAACUGCGUCCGAUACUGGUUGGCUUGAAUCCGGGAGAGGGAUGUGGAAUUCCAGGUGUAGCGGUGAAAUGCGUAGAUAUCUGGAGGAACACCGGUGGCGAAGGCGACAUCCUGGACCGGUAUUGACGCUGAGGCGCGAAAGCCAGGGGAGCAAAGCGGG
rnacentral:rRNA from 1 species